GCGAGUGAAGCGGCAAAAGCUCAAAUUUGAAAUCUAGCACCUUCGGUGUUCGAGUUGUAAUUUGAAGAUGGUAACCUUGGGUUUGGCUCUUGUCUAUGUUCCUUGGAACAGGACGUCAUAGAGGGUGAGAAUCCCGUCUGAUGAGAUGCCCAUUCCUAUGUAAGGUGCUAUCGAAGAGUCGAGUUGUUUGGGAAUGCAGCUCUAAGUGGGUGGUAAAUUCCAUCUAAAGCUAAAUAUUGGCGAGAGACCGAUAGCGAACAAGUACAGUGAUGGAAAGAUGAAAAGAACUUUGAAAAGAGAGUGAAAAAGUACGUGAAAUUGUUGAAAGGGAAGGGCAUUAGAUCAGACUUGGUGUUUUACGAUUAUCUUCUCUUCUUGAGUUGUGCACUCGUAUUUCACUGGGCCAGCAUCGAUUCGGAUGGCAAGAUAAUGGCAGUUGAAUGUGGCUUCACUUCGGUGGAGUGUUAUAGCUUCUGCUGAUAUUGCCUGUCUGGAUCGAGGGCUGCGUCUUUUGACUAGGAUGCUGGCGUAAUGAUC
rnacentral:rRNA from 1 species